rnacentral:rRNA from 1 species
CCUACGGGAGGCAGCAGUGGGGAAUAUUGGGCAAUGGGCGCAAGCCUGACCCAGCAACGCCGCGUGGAGGAUGACGGUUUUCGGAUUGUAAACUCCUUUUGUUAGAGAAGAUAAUGACGGUAUCUAACGAAUAAGCACCGGCUAACUCCGUGCCAGCAGCCGCGGUAAUACGGAGGGUGCAGGCGUUACUCGGAAGCACUGGGCGUAAAGAGCGCGUAGGCGGGAUAGCAAGUCAGAUGUGAAAUCCUAUGGCUUAACCAUAGAACUGCAUGUGAAACUGUUAUUCUAGAGUAUGGGAGAGGUAGGUGGAAUUCGUGGUGUAGGGGUAAAAUGCGUAGAGAUCAAGAGGAAUACUCAUUGCGAAGGCGACCUGCCAGAACAUAACUGACGCUGAUGCGCGAAAGCGUGGGGAGCGAACAGGAGUAGAUACCCGAGUAGUC